rnacentral:rRNA from 1 species
UACGUAGGGGGCGAGCGUUGUCCGGAUUUAUUGGGCGUAAAAGGCUUGUAGGUGGCCACGUCAAGUCGGAUGUGAAAUCUCCCGGCUCAACUGGGAGGGGUCAUUCGAUACUGGCGGGCUCGAGGCCGGUAGGGGGAAGCGGAAUUCCCGGUGUAGUGGUGGAAUGCGUAGAUAUCGGGAGGAACACCAGUGGCGAAGGCGGCUUCCUGGACCAGUACCGACGUUCAGGCACGAAAGCGUGGGGAGCAAACAGG